CUCUCUCUACCCCUCCCCUGCUUAUCUCUGUCUCUCAAAUAUUAUAAAUACAUAAAUAAACAUCAAAAAAAAUUUUUUAAAUAGAUAUAUGGAUAUAGCAUUGUUUAUGAUAGCUCAAAGCAGCCUUCUACUAUUAGCAAACUGGAAAUUAUCUAAAUUCUAGCAACAGAGAACUGGCCAGUCAUACUACAGAAUACUGCCCAGCAUUAAGAGUUACAGCUAGAUCUAAAUAUUCGUGUUUUGACUUAAAAAAAAAAGCUCCAAGAUAUAAAAAGCAAAUACAAUGUCAUUCUACUUCUGUUUUUAGAAACUCACAUUUGCAUGUUCACAUUUUCGUUAACAUGAAAAAGUCUGGAUGGGUACACUGCAAACAUCUUCCCUCCAGGGGAAGCAAGCUCGUGAGGUCAUGAGAGGACAGAGUUUUUCUUGUGUUCAAACCUGCAUCUCAGCCCUCACUCCAGCCGCUGACCGAACCACCCGAGGACGACAUCACCCCCUCAAAACCAGCAUGAGAACGAUCUGACGCUCCAACUUUCUGGCGGUC